AUUGAACGCUGGCGGCAGGCCUAACACAUGCAAGUCGAGCGGAUGAAGGGAGCUUGCUCCUGGAUUCAGCGGCGGACGGGUGAGUAAUGCCUAGGAAUCUGCCUGGUAGUGGGGGAUAACGUCCGGAAACGGGCGCUAAUACCGCAUACGUCCUGAGGGAGAAAGUGGGGGAUCUUCGGACCUCACGCUAUCAGAUGAGCCUAGGUCGGAUUAGCUAGUUGGUGGGGUAAAGGCCUACCAAGGCGACGAUCCGUAACUGGUCUGAGAGGAUGAUCAGUCACACUGGAACUGAGACACGGUCCAGACUCCUACGGGAGGCAGCAGUGGGGAAUAUUGGACAAUGGGCGAAAGCCUGAUCCAGCCAUGCCGCGUGUGUGAAGAAGGUCUUCGGAUUGUAAAGCACUUUAAGUUGGGAGGAAGGGCAGUAAGUUAAUACCUUGCUGUUUUGACGUUACCAACAGAAUAAGCACCGGCUAACUUCGUGCCAGCAGCCG
rnacentral:rRNA from 1 species